CGAAACGGUCACGGUUAAUACCCGUGACUACUGACGGUACCGGAAGAAGAAGCACCGGCUAACUACGUGCCAGCAGCCGCGGUAAUACGUAGGGUGCGAGCGUUAAUCGGAAUUACUGGGCGUAAAGCGUGCGCAGGCGGUUUUGUAAGUCAGAUGUGAAAUCCCCGGGCUUAACCUGGGAACUGCGUUUGAAACUACAAGGCUAGAGUGUGGCAGAGGGGGGUGGAAUUCCACGUGUAGCAGUGAAAUGCGUAGAGAUGUGGAGGAACACCGAUGGCGAAGGCAGCCCCCUGGGUUAACACUGACGCUCAGGCACGAAAGCGUGGGGAGCAAACAGGAUUAGAUACCCUGGUAGUCCACGCCCUAAACGAUGUCAACUAGUUGUCGGGUCUUAACGGACUUGGUAACGCAGCUAACGCGUGAAGUUGACCGCCUGGGGAGUACGGUCGCAAGAUUAAAACUCAAAGGAAUUGACGGGGACCCGCACAAGCGGUGGAUUAUGUGGAUUAAUUCGAUGCAACGCGAAAAACCUUACCUACCCUUGACAUGUGCCGAAGCCCGCUGAGAGGUGGGUGUGCCCGAAAGGGAACGGCAACACAGGUGCUGCAUGGCUGUCGUCA
rnacentral:rRNA from 1 species